UUGACCUCAAAUCAGGUAG
rnacentral:rRNA from 32 species